rnacentral:rRNA from 1 species
GAUGAACGCUGGCGGCGUGCCUAAUACAUGCAAGUCGAGCGAACGGACGAGAAGCUUGCUUCUCUGAUGUUAGCGGCGGACGGGUGAGUAACACGUGGAUAACCUACCUAUAAGACUGAGAUAACUUCGGGAAACCGUAUCUAAUACCGGAUAAUAUUUUGAAGCGCGUUGUUCAAAAGUGAAAGACGGUCGUGCUGUCACUUAUAGAUGGAUCCGCGCUGCAUUAGCUAGUUGGUAAGGUAACGGCCUACCAAGGCAACGAUGCAUAGCCGACCGGAGAGGGUGAUCGGCCACCCUGGAGCUGAGACACGGUCAUGACUCCUACGGGAGGGCGCAGUAGGGAAUCUUACGCAAUGGGCGAGAGCCUGACGCAGCAACGCCGCGUGAGUUAUGAAGGUCUUCGGUUCGUAAAGCUCUGUUAUGAGGGAAGAACAUAUGUGUAAGUAGCUGUGCACAUCUUGACGGUACCUAAUCAGAAAGCAACGGCUAACUACGUG